rnacentral:rRNA from 1 species
GAUGAACGCUGGCGGCAUGCCUUACACAUGCAAGUCGAACGGCAGCACGGGGCAACCUGGUGGCGAGUGGCGAACGGGUGAGUAAUGCAUCGGAACGUACCUUUCAGUGGGGGAUAACGUAGCGAAAGUUACGCUAAUACCGCAUAUUCUGUGAGCAGGAAAGCAGGGGAUCGCAAGACCUUGCGCUGAUUGAGCGGCCGAUGUCAGAUUAGCUAGUUGGUGAGGUAAAGGCUCACCAAGGCGACGAUCUGUAGCGGGUCUGAGAGGAUGAUCCGCCACACUGGAACUGAGACACGGUCCAGACUCCUACGGGAGGCAGCAGUGGGGAAUUUUGGACAAUUGGGGCAACCCUGAGCCAGCCAUGCCGCGUGAGUGAAGAAGGCCUUCGGGUUGUAAAGCUCUUUCGGCCGGGAAGAAAUCGCACGGGCUAAUACCCUGUGUGGAUGACGGUACCGGAAUAAGAAGCACCGGCUAACUACGUGCCAGCCGCCGCAGUAAGAC